GAUGAAGAACGUAGCGAAAUGCGAUACGUAAUGUGAAUUCCAAAUUCAGUGAAUCAUCGAAUCUUUGAACGCACAUUGCGCCCGCCAGUAUUCUGGCGGGCAUGCCUGUUCGAGCGUCAUUUCAACCAUCAAGCCCCAGGCUUGUGUUGGGGACCUGCGGCUGCCGCAGGCCCUGAAAACCAGUGGCGGGCUCGCUGUCACACCGGGCGUAGUAGAUUUUAUCUCGCUCAGGGCGUGCUGCGGGUUCCGGCCGUUAAAAAGCCUUUUUUACCCAAGGUUGACCUCGGAUCAGGUAGGAAUACCCGCUGAACUUAAGCAUAUCAAUAAGCGGAGGA
rnacentral:misc_RNA from 1 species